UACCAGCACCCCGAGUGGUCGGGACGAUUAUUGGGCCUAAAGCAUCCGUAGCCGGUCCUACAAGUCUUCCGUUAAAUCCACCUGCUUAACAGAUGGGCUGCGGAAGAUACUACAGGGCUAGGAGGCGGGAGAGGCAAGCGGUACUUUAUGGGUAGGGGUAAAAUCCGUUGAUCCAUAGAAGACCACCAGUGGCGAAGGCGGCUUGCCAGAACGCGCUCGACGGUGAGGGAUGAAAGCUGGGGGAGCAAACCGG
rnacentral:rRNA from 1 species